CACACUGGGGAACACCUACCAUAUACCUCCCUCCCCUCCUCCUCUUGCUCUCUCUCUCCUUGUCUUUAUCUCUGUCUCUCUCCUUCACUGCACUUCUUUAUCCCCCUCUCUUUCUACAUGUGUCAAGGAAAUCCGUGUGGAAUACAAAUCCACUACCCAUCAUAGUAGGAAAUGAAGCGGUGUGCCAUUUCCUCACGACCAGUCAUCGGUGUUGCCGCAAGCUCUCAUUUACCCAAAGUUUUUGGCUCUUGGGUGUUAUCCUGGGAGCACCCAAUAUGCAAACCAGCAUCCAGCGGCACAGUGAGGAUCACAUCACCACGGGACGCUCCUGAAAGCAUCCAUAAAACUCUGGAGAGAAUUGAGAAUGUAAUACUUAUCUGAUAAAGCGCUGCACCUUAUACCUGGGUCAGCAGUAGAAACACAUACUUGCCUUGAAGCAAAAUGACAAACUGAGAGGCCAAAAUGCUUUGCUAGCGUUUCACUGUCAAAAGUCAAACUGUAUGUGGCAUAAAUACGUGCGCCUUUUCUGGUGGGACUUCACAAACCCCCUUUUUUAAAACCUUUCUAUAGAUAUUUUCUGCCAAUUAACCCUGCCUCAGGAGAGAUUUGCCUAUCUCAAGCCCCAGCUUUGCGCCUGUGCAGCUCGCGGCGUCACUCUCCCUACGUCUCAGGCUUGGCAGUACGAAUGAUAAAGGAAGAGGAGCACACUGUACAAACCUUGCUCAACAAAGGAAGCUGUAGCUAAUGAUUUGCAUACGGAGAAUGCAAGGAUAAGGCCCACACAGGACUGCCUCGGAUGUUAUUAUCGGCCUCCCAUCAUCGCUGGGAGCUGAUGCCUGUCAACAUUCAGGGCACAGCCCCAAAGAGAGGGUCUAGGUCAUACCUUGGUGUCAGAUGUGGCUGUCUCCCCUGGCAAAGUCACUCUCACGUGAACCACAAAAAUCUAUAUUUCAAUCGGAUAUUGUUUUCCGGUUCACCAAACUUGUAGAUCUAAAGAGUGAACUCCCUCCAGUGCCCGUUCAGGGCUCGGACCCAUCAAUCUCACAGCUUUUUGUUGACCUGUCUUUUCCAGUGCUCUCAGCUCUGCUCCCAGAUAUAUUUUAUUUACAACAUUUUAAUCAUGCAUAAGAUUAAUGAAAAUUUGAUCACUGUACAUUAUUCAACUUGUCCCCCUGGAGAGGGGUCUACUUAAUGGCAUGACACAAUGACUGUAUUGAAUAGUUAUCAUAUGCCACAACAUUUAUCUCCUGUCCAUCUGGUUGUAUUGAGCUUCGGAAAAAUAAAUGUUGUGCUCUACAACG